CAUGGACAGUGGCUCUAAGCCAGAGAAUAUGAGCAUGCCAGAAGAGCGUGCCUCUUUGGCCAGUGAUGGUGAAGUUGUACACGUAGCUUUGCCCCGGUUGAAUCGGACAUUGUGUGAUGUAUGCAGGUCCAUCAGCCCAGCCAGUUCGGAGUUGCCUGAUUCCAUGCCUAUACCACCAACAUUGUAUUCAUAAGACUGAGUUAUCAAACUCCAUUACAAUACAUAGAAUAUGAUUUUGUGGGAACUCACCAGUGAAUGGAAAGGUUAUAUUUGACAUGGUUGACGACUUUGACGAGAACGGUAUCGUCUUCUCUAGCGUAAAGGGUUGGUCCAGGGAAGAGGCCAUUAACGGUGACAAUGGGCUUGCUUGAGCAUAGUCUGGUUGCCUUCCUCAACACCACCUGCCACCCAAAAUGGCUCAAUAUCAGUCAUCACAACAGAAACAGGAAGAAGGCAGCAAAGUGCGAAGAGAACAAAGCAUCUGGAGGACUCCAUUGAAGGGCUGUGGGGAAGAAAUGAAGAAGAAGAAGAAGAAGAAGAUGAUGAGAAGGAUGGGCAUGCAAGUCAGGCUUAUAUACAGAAACUCAAAAUAAGGUAUUAAGGGAAUAAAUCUAUGUUUUGUUGCCAUGUCGUUCUUUCGCAGUUAGGUGAUAAGUUAAAACAUGACUUCAUACAAAAGGAUUUUCAGAUCAAACCACAAUCCGCUGCACCAUUUUCUUUUUCCCUUUUUUUCUUUCUUUCUGAUAUUAUUAAACUUAGUUUAUUAUAAUAUUCUGGAUUCUAUCUAAAAAGUAAAAAUGUUCAUUUUCCAAGGUGUAAUUAAUUACGAUGGUGACAAUCAAUAUAUCCCAUUUUCAUUUCCUUUUU